UCCUGCCUCAGCCUCCCGAGUAGCUGGGAUUACAGGUGCCCGCCACCAAGCCAAGCUAAUUUUUUUAUUUUUAAUAGAGACGGGGUUUCAAUAUGUUGGCCAGGCUGGUCUUGAACUCCUGAUCUUGUGAUCCGCCUGCCUCGGCCUCCCAAAGUGCUGGGAUUACAGGCGUGAGCCACCGCGCCCGGCCUGACAUCUUUCUUAAAUCAACACUAGUUUUUCCAUUUAAGAAUGUGGUGAAUCACUCCACUCACUAAUAUUUUCUUUCAUGUCCCUCAGGUGUAUUUCCAAGUUUCCUCUAAAACCAGCCAAAUGAACCAAGAAAAAUCAAAACCAAGCAACGUGCACAUAUUUUGUUUAAUGUAUGCAGAAAGAUCUUAUAGCUUUAGUUGAAAUAUAAGACUCAUUCUCCUGUUAUAUUUUCUAAUUGGUUAUAAUUAAUACAUAUAAAUUGUACCCAAUUUUGUGUAUAUAUAUUCGUUGGACUGUAUUUUCAUUUGAAUAGUUUAUUAGAAAAUUCUCUUGAAUUUUCUAUAUAGAUUAUCAUAUUUCCUGCAGAUAAAAAUAUUCUUGCUUCAUUCUAAAUUCUUAUACUCCUAUUUCUUUUGCUUGUUUCAUUGCCCUCAGUACGGCUUCCAGGAUACUGAUGAAUAGACAUAUUGACAAUGGACAUCCUUGUCUUGUUACUGAUAUUGAUGGGCAUGCUUCCAAAGUUUCACCAUUAAUUAUAAUGUUUACUAUACACUUUUGAUAGAUAACCUUUAUCACAUUAAGGAAGUUCCUUACAAUUGCUAUUUUGAGCACUCAGCUCGCUUAAACCUCUCAUGAUUUUGAAAUAAAUUCAUGUCAGACUAUAAAUUUACCUCUAGAUAUUCUUUCUUUUUUCAACAAGGUCUCACUCUGUGGCCCAGGCUGGAGUGUAAUGGCAUGAUAAUGGCUCACUGCAACCUCCACCUCCUGGGAUCAAGCAGUCCUCCCAACUCAGUCUCCCAAGUAGCUGGGACCACAGGCACCCACCACCACACCUGGCUAAUUUUUUGUAGAAACAGGGUUUUGCAUUGUUGCCCAGGCUGGUCUCAAACUCCUCAAAUUUCUGUUGUAAUUUCUUCUUCAGCCUAUUAGUUACUAGGGAGUGAAUUUUUUAGUUCCCACAUAUAUGAGUUUGAGACUGUAUUUUAGUAUUGACUUCUAAUUUAAUUGGGUUGUGUUUAGAGAAUAUGAUCUGUGUUAUUUGAUGAUUCUAGAUAUUUGUUGAGUUCUUUGUGACCUAGUAUGUGGUCAAAUUUUUAAAUAAUCUGUAUAUCACCAACUGUUUUUAAAUGAUCUAUGAUGACCAUUUAUGUUUGGCCGCAAAGUUUUACACACACACACCCAUUAGAUAAUGCUUGUUACUUUUGUUUUUCAAAUCUUUUAUAACCUAGUACUUUUUAAAUUGCUUGAUUUAUCAACUUUUGAUCAAGUUAAAUGGGUUGUAAUCUUAGACUUGUAGUUCUGUCAAUUUGCUUACUAUAUUUUGAGGUGCGUGUAUGUUAGACACAUACAUAUACAUUUGGGCCUGUGACAGCUUCUGAGUCGGUUGGUGCCUUGAUUAUUAUAUAGUCUCUCUCCUAUUAUAAUCUGUCUGCUAUUGCUAGCAUUUAAAUAGUGUAUAUUUUUCCAUUCCUUUAUUUUCAGCCUGUGUGAUUUCAUCUUAGAUGGUAUCUUGGAAGCAAGACCUACCUGGACUUUUUAGAAAUCUAAUCUAAUCAUUUUCUGUCUUGGAGUAGGGAGUUGAAAGGCACAAGUGCGGACAAGAGGAUCAAUCAAAGCUCCGUUCUGUUCCCAAUCCUUCCAGUCCCGAUGCUCCAGAGAGCAGGGGAGGCACCUGUACACAGGUACUGGGCAUGACUGAUGAGGCAGUGCCCAGGAGCCCAACUUCCUCGAAGCGAGAGAAAGGACAGAGAUGCUAAGAUCUGCACACUUCCACAUUUUAGAGAAUUUGGGAGACCCAUGUUGGAUGUGGACCGUGGUUCUUAUUGGUAUUAUUUUCUGAGUGGUAGAUGUGCUUAAUCCCAGCACCUGCCUAAACUGAUGACAACAGCGGCUUUCCUACUGGAAGGACAUUGCCACUUGAUAGCAUAUGCUGUACCUCGCUUGCAUGUCCCUGCUUCCAAGCUUUGGGGAUUUCUAGGAUUGUUUUCUCCUAGUUUCCUUGUGUCACGUGGGCUCCUUUAUAAAAUAUCCCCAUAUAAUAGUGCAUGAUGUGCUCUAUUACAAAACACAAAUGUGUCUGUCCAAGACAGCCUGGGGGCAGCGAGCUGGGGCGUGGCAAGGAGACCAACUGGAAUGACGGGAGAGCCCUAGUGGAUGCACAGUGCACCGCUCUUACACCACAAGCCUCCCGCCCCAGCAUGAUUUAACCCGUGAAGAAAGCAGAGCAUUUAAUAUGUUCUACAGAUGUUUUAAAAAAGGAAUAACGGCGCUUGUCCCAAGUGUGGGAUGGAGGCACACACUCUUCUGAGAUGUGAAGCAAAUUUCAUAUCUCAAAAGAGAAAAAGGACAACAGUUCCUGCUCAGUCACCAAGUCUGAUUCUCAACCCUGGAACGCCUCAGCCUGCCUGAGCCCAGAAAUGAGGCUCCUUGUGAACACUAUGGAAAUGCAAUGGCUGUUUUGAUUUUCCAUAAUGGACAGCACACUGGUCCAGGAGGCAUAUCCAAUCUAAAUGAACUAGCAUCUGUGAAACUUCCUAGCACAGUCCCAGCACAUCGCAGGAGCUGAACUAAUGUUCUUUUCCCUUCCCAAGGAACCCUGAAGCCUUUGAAGGAACCGUGAUUGGGAAGGCAUCAGCAUUUGCUUUUCGCUGGUAUAAAUUUGGACCACUGGUCUGCCCGGGGUGUCCCCUGCCAGUGGUCGUGGACUGCUAGGGAAGCACAGCACACCCCCCAACACCCCCCCGCAAGGAAGACCCCUCAUUGCCCACCAAUGUCCUCUUUCUGGCGUCCCUCACGUUCCUGGCCGAGACCCUCCGUUCAGUCACGCCAUGAGGUCAGGGCCACGGUUGCCAUUGUCUGCUGGAAGCCAGUGCAGCACUUGGAGCUUAGAAGAUGCACACAACUCUUUGUUAAAGAACAAAGAAAUGGGAGAAACUUUUUAAAAGAAAAUAAACAGAGAGAAAGAGGGUGAGACGAAGACUGUGGCUGAGGCUUUGUUUUCAGGCCGAAAGCAGGACACUCAGCUCAUUCUCAAUGAAACUUCAACAUCGAUAAUUCAAAUGUCUUAGAAAUUGUACAUUGGAAGGGGAAAUAAAAUGAUUUUUCAGCUCUUUUAGGCUUACAGAUACCUAAAUGAAGCAUAGAUUGUAGAAUGUUGUUCAGAAGGGAAUUAAAUUUGGAUUUCAUCCUUCCCAGGGACUGGGGGCACUGCUUGUCACUUUGACUCAAAUGGAGAGUCCCUGCCACUGCUUGCUUGCCUUCAUCUGACCACACUGUGCUAAGCGCCCAGCCCCAGGGUAUAGCUGAGCCCUGCACCAGCUGCAGUGAACCGCUUGGCCGGGUGCCCUCUUAGAUCCUCCCUGCCCUGUUCCCUGGCUCUCUGUCCCCUGCGGUCCUCUUCUCUAGGACUGUUGAAACUUCUCCGCAUCUGGUCAGCUUCACACAAAAGGGCUCCUAUUUUACAGGCUGAGAGCCCCUUCCUGUGUGUUGUCAAAACUGACACAUCGCAUUGCUUAGGUUUAAUCUUCAGGUACUUUUUCUGUUUUUUUACCUAUAAAAUUAAUAUAAGCAUAUGCUCCCGUAAUCAACACAAUUUAGAUAAAGCAAGAGUUCCUCUGGGCCCUCCCACUUCCAUUUGCAUUUUCUUUUCUGUGGACUAACUGGUCAUCUUCUUUAUCCACUUGUCUAUGAGGUUGUUGAUCUUGGUCUUUUUUCUUAUUAACAGAUAGGAAUUCUUCAUAGAGCCUAGAUAACAAUCCAGAAUUCAUGUGUAUACGCACGCAUUUAUCUAUAUGUAUAUGUAUAAGCACAUUACACACAUACAUUUGCACACAUACAAAUGUUAGAAAUAUCUUCUCCAACUCUGUUGCUUGUCUUUUAUCUCAGCUUAUAGAGGUUUCCGAUUUUGAAUCAGAAGUUUCACAUUUCAUUGAAGGUAGACAUCACUCUUUCUCUAUUUGCUUUUGUGAUUUGUGUCUUGCUCAAGGCCUUCCCUGUCCUACCCCCAUGUCAAAAGCAUGUUCUCCACUAUUUUCUUUCAGUCCUUAAUCUUUCUUCCGUAGGUAGCCAAUGUCCAGCACGUUUGGUAAUGACACCUCCUCGGUGAAGCGCAAGGCCACCUUGACCCCAGCUCCCAUGGGUCUGUCUUCAGGGGAAUUUUGAGGUUGUUUUUGCUGCAGGGUGUCAGGAACUCCUUCCUCUCUGAUUCUUGGAAAAGUUUACUGUUUGCUGCUGGCUUUGUGGUCUCUCCUCCCUGUGCAGGUAGGGUGUGGAGGGUAAUCAGAGUCAGUCCAGAGGUUGCUCAAAGUUUCAGUUUAUCUCCAGCCACUAUUUGCUAACUCAUCUGAGAAUUCUGCCAAGAUAAACAUCAGACAGACCCUCCUAUGGUUCAAUCAGUCUGCUCCUGGGAAAAUUAGGACAUGUGUCUGCCCGGCUCUGCUGGUGUUCCUGAGAGUGACUGGUCUCUGUGUGACCUUUCAUUGGCCAGGCUCCCCCAAGGGAAACGUCCACCAGCAGAAAAAGUAGGAAAAAAAUCCCUUUAUGCAGAGAAAAUACACUGCAGAAACAAACAUAGUCUAACCCUGCCUUUUAAAACAUAGCUUUUAGACUGAAAGAGUUCACCCUUCCUCUCUCCACCUGGUCACUCUUGGGAUGACAAUUUCAAAUCCCACAUAACAUUCACAGUGUGUUAUUCCCAUGCAAUUACCUUGUUAGGUUUCAUACAUUUAGAACACGGAGGGGGACAGGGGAUGCUUCUCCGCAGUCUCUUCGUUAUUGGGACAUACUCCAACGCUCAGACAGCUCCACAAUGCACCUUUCUCCCACUCUUCAUUCCUUUUCUGGCAACACUCUUUCUCUCUCAGAGGAUUUUAAAAACAUGUCUUGUUACAAAAAGCAAAGAAUGACAGUUGCUUCAGAAAAAUACCCAACUGAAAGAUCCACUCCCUGACCAUGGAGAGCUCACUACAGAUCUAGAAACGCGAGGCAGAGACUUGAAGAUGCUGCACACAUCCUGUGUGGGAGUGGGAGAAAAGCUGCUGCUUCCUUAGCAUUAAAACAGACAGGGUCAUUUCAGCCUUGCAGGGGAUGACCAGCCCUCACUGGAAUUAUGUGAUGGCAUCACAUUUGCUCCUCAUGUAAACAUUCCAGCGGGAGAACGACUGCUCCCUGAAGACACUCAUGGUGUGAUAAACAGCAGUCAGUGGAAUCAAGGCAGGGGCGAGGUCCUCUUCCUUCUGCCUCCUUCUCACCAUGGCACCUUGAGAGAGGCCCUUUGUCCCUCGGGUUUUUCCAUUUUCUCAUUUGCAAAAUGAAGAGGAUCCCAUCUACACCGUCGUGUUUAGAAAUGACACAAGAUCACAAAAACCUCUGCCGCCUCGAAGAUACAGAAUUGCUGGUGAGGCUCGUUGUCUGAGAGCCGGGCUCUGCUCCCCUCGGGGCCAAGUCUACCAAUUGUUCUUUGGAAAACAAAAGCUGGAGGCAUUAAAACUGGGCUGUUCCAAGUGUUCUUUACGUUUUAUAAAUUUUAUAAGGUGAAACUCAAUAUUUAGAUGAUUGGUAGAAACGUCUCUUGGGGGCUUUAUGGUUUUCUAACAUAGAGUGGGGGGACAUGUUACCUCGGCAGGAGCAUGUGGGCUGAGAGGAGGGAACCACAUCAGGGAGGCCGGUGACUGGAGAGGGAAGUCCUCCUCCUGUGGAGGGCCUGGCCCUCAUGGAUUCCCCACUUCCAGGCAACUUUGUGACCUCAGAGAAGCUAACCUGAUGUGCAUGCUACUGACGUUGCCCAUGCCGCUCCUGCUGGCUGAUGGAACUAUCUGUCUGGAGUCUGUGGAUGGCAGACCUCCUGAUUGUGUGGAGCGUGAGUUUUUCGAAAGAGAUCUCUCACUUUCAUCCAGGCUGGAGUGUAGUGGCACACACCACCACACCAGGAUAAUUCUU
rnacentral:lncRNA from 1 species